UACGUGGGGGGCAAGCGUUGUUCGGAAUUACUGGGCGUAAAGCGCACGUAGGCGGAUUGUUUAGUUAGGGGUGAAAUCCCGGGGCUCAACCCCGGAACUGCCUUUAAUACUGGCAAUCUAGAGUCCGAGAGAGGUGAGUGGAAUUCCGAGUGUAGAGGUGAAAUUCGUAGAUAUUCGGAGGAACACCAGUGGCGAAGGCGGCUCACUGGCUCGGUACUGACGCUGAGGUGCGAAAGCGUGGGGAGCAAACAGG
rnacentral:rRNA from 1 species